rnacentral:rRNA from 1 species
CCUACGGGAGGCAGCAGUGGGGAAUUUUGGACAAUGGGGGCAACCCUGAUCCAGCCAUUCCGCGUGAGUGAAGAAGGCCUUCGGGUUGUAAAGCUCCGAGGAGCUAUAUGCGGUACCGGAAGAAUAAGCACCGGCUAACUACGUGCCAGCAGCCGCGGUAAUACGUAGGGUGCGAGCGUUAAUCGGAAUUACUGGGCGUAAAGCGUGCGCAGGCGGUUUUGUAAGCCAGAUGUGAAAGCCCCGGGCUUAACCUGGGAAUGGCAUUUGGGACUGCAAGGCUUGAGUGUGGCAGAGGAGACUGGAAUUCCUGGUGUAGCAGUGAAAUGCGUAGAUAUCAGGAGGAAUACCGAUGGCGAAGGCAGGUCUCUGGGCGAACUGACGCUCAUGCACGAAAGCGUGGGGAGCAAACAGGAUUAGAUACCCUUGUAGUC